rnacentral:rRNA from 1 species
GUUACCUACAUCUGUUAAGGAUGUGAGGAGGAAGACGCAGUGAACUGAAACAUCUAAGUAGCUGCAGGAAGAGAAAGCAAAAGCGAUUGCCUUAGUAGCGGCGAGCGAAACGGCAGAAGGGCAAACCGAAGAGUUUACUCUUCGGGGUUGUAGGACUGCAAUGUGGACUCAAAGAUUAUAGAAGAAUGAUUUGGGAAGAUCAGCCAAAGAGAGUAAUAGCCUCGUAUUUAAAAUAGUCUUUGUACUUAGCAGUAUCCUGAGUACGGCGGGACACGUGAAAUCCCGUCGGAAUCUGGGAGGACCAUCUCCCAACCCUAAAUACUCCCUAGUGACCGAUAGUGAACCAGUACCGUGAGGGAAAGGUGAAAAGCACCCCGGGAGGGGAGUGAAAUAGAACCUGAAACCGUGUGCCUACAACAAGUUCGAGCCCGUUAAUGGGUGAGAGCGUGCCUUUUGUAGAAUGAACCGGCGAGUUACGUUAUGAUGCGAGGUUAAGUUGAAGAGACGGAGCCGUAGGGAAACCGAGUCUGAAUAGGGCGCCUUAGUAUCAUGACGUAGACCCGAAACCAUGUGACCUACCCAUGAGCAGGUUGAAGGUGCGGUAAGACGCACUGGAGGACCGAACCAGGGCACGUUGAAAAGUGCUUGGAUGACUUGUGGGUAGCGGAGAAAUUCCAAACGAACUUGGAGAUAGCUGGUUCUCUCCGAAAUAGCUUUAGGGCUAGCGUCGACAUUAGAGAUUCUUGGAGGUAGAGCACUGUUUGGGUGAGGGGUCCAUCCCGGAUUACCAAUCUCAGAUAAACUCCGAAUGCCAAUGAAUUAUGGUCGGCAGUCAGACUGCGAGUGCUAAGAUCCGUAGUCGAAAGGGAAACAGCCCAGACCACCAGCUAAGGUCCCAAAAUAAUUGUUAAGUGGAAAAGGAUGUGGGGUUGCACAGACAACUAGGAUGUUAGCUUAGAAGCAGCUAUUCAUUCAAAGAGUGCGUAAUAGCUCACUAGUCGAGUGACCCUGCGCCGAAAAUGUACCGGGGCUAAAACAAUUUACCGAAGCUGUGGAUACCUUUAUAGGUAUGGUAGGAGAGCGUUCUAUGUGUGAUGAAGGUAUACCGUGAGGAGUGCUGGAACGCAUAGAAGUGAGAAUGCCGGUAUGAGUAGCGAAAGACAGGUGAGAAUCCUGUCCACCGUAAGACUAAGGUUUCCAGGGGAAGGCUCGUCCGCCCUGGGUUAGUCGGGACCUAAGGAGAGACCGAAAGGUGUAUCCGAUGGACAACAGGUUGAUAUUCCUGUACUAGAGUAUGUAGUGAUGGAGGGACGCAGUAGGCUAACUAAAGCAGACGAUUGGAAGAGUCUGUCUAAGCAGUGAGGUGUGAAUUGAGUCAAAUGCUUAAUUCUAUAACAUUGAGCUGUGAUGGGGAGCGAAGUUUAGUAGCGAAGUUAGUGACGUCACACUGCCAAGAAAAGCUUCUAGCGUUUAAACAUACUCUACCCGUACCGCAAACCGACACAGGUAGUCGAGGCGAGUAGCCUCAGGUGAGCGAGAGAACUCUCGUUAAGGAACUCGGCAAAAUGACCCCGUAACUUCGGGAGAAGGGGUGCUGACUUAAAGUCAGCCGCAGUGAAUAGGCCCAAGCAACUGUUUAUCAAAAACACAGCUCUCUGCUAAAUCGUAAGAUGAUGUAUAGGGGGUGACGCCUGCCCGGUGCUGGAAGGUUAGAGGAGUGCUUAGCGUAAGCGAAGGUAUGAAUUGAAGCCCCAGUAAACGGCGGCCGUAACUAUAACGGUCCUAAGGUAGCGAAAUUCCUUGUCGGGUAAGUUCCGACCCGCACGAAAGGCGUAAUGAUUUGGGCACUGUCUCAACGAGAGACUCGGUGAAAUUUUAGUACCUGUGAAGAUGCAGGUUACCCGCGACAGGACGGAAAGACCCCAUGGAGCUUUACUGCAGUUUGAUAUUGAGUGUCUGUACCACAUGUACAGGAUAGGUAGGAGUCUAAGAGAUCGGGACGCCAGUUUCGAAGGAGACGCUGUUGGGAUACUACCCUUGUGUUAUGGCCACUCUAACCCAGAUAGGUGAUCCCUAUCGGAGACAGUGUCUGACGGGCAGUUUGACUGGGGCGGUCGCCUCCUAAAAGGUAACGGAGGCGCCCAAAGGUUCCCUCAGAAUGGUUGGAAAUCAUUCGCAGAGUGUAAAGGUAUAAGGGAGCUUGACUGCGAGAGCUACAACUCGAGCAGGGACGAAAGUCGGGCUUAGUGAUCCGGUGGUUCCGUAUGGAAGGGCCAUCGCUCAACGGAUAAAAGCUACCCUGGGGAUAACAGGCUUAUCUCCCCCAAGAGUUCACAUCGACGGGGAGGUUUGGCACCUCGAUGUCGGCUCGUCGCAUCCUGGGGCUGUAGUCGGUCCCAAGGUUGGGCUGUUCGCCCAUUAAAGCGGCACGCGAGCUGGGCUCAGAACGUCGUGAGACAGUUCGGUCCCUAUCCGUCGCGGGCGUAGGAAAUUUGAGAGGAUCUGCUCCUAGUGCGAGAGGACCAGAGUGGACUUACCGCUGGUGUACCAGUUGUCUUGCCAAAGGCAUCGCUGGGUAGCUAUGUAGGGAAGGGAUAAACGCUGAAAGCAUCUAAGUGUGAAACCCACCUCAAGAUGAGAUUUCCCAUGAUUAUAUAUCAGUAAGAGCCCUGAGAGAUGAUCAGGUAGAUAGGUUAGAAGUGGAAGUGUGGCGACACAUGUAGCGGACUAAUACUAAUAGCUCGAGGACUUAUCCA